rnacentral:rRNA from 1 species
UACGAAUUGUGCGAACGUUAUUCGGAAUCACUGGGCUUAAAGGGUGCGUAGGCGGGUUUAAAGGUCUGAUGUGAAAUCCCACGGCUCAACCGUGGAAUUGCGUUGGAAACCAUAAGUCUUGAGGAGAUCAGAGGUAAGCGGAACUGAUGGUGGAGCGGUGAAAUGCGUUGAUAUCAUCAGGAACACCGGUGGCGAAAGCGGCUUGCUGGGAUCUUUCUGACGCUGAGGCACGAAAGCCAGGGGAGCGAACGGG